rnacentral:rRNA from 1 species
UACGAAGGGGACUAGCGUUGUUCGGAAUUACUGGGCGUAAAGCGCACGUAGGCGGAUUUGUUAGUCAGGGGUGAAAUCCCGGGGCUCAACCUCGGAACUGCCUUUGAUACUGGCGAUCUUGAGUCCGGAAGAGGUGAGUGGAACUCCUAGUGUAGAGGUGGAAUUCGUAGAUAUUAGGAAGAACACCAGUGGCGAAGGCGGCUCACUGGUCCGGUACUGACGCUGAGGUGCGAAAGCGUGGGGAGCAAACAGGG